rfam:Oryctolagus cuniculus chromosome 13, whole genome shotgun sequence.
GUUUCUUUGGCAGUGUCUUAGCUGGUUGUUGUGAGUCACAGAGAAGGAAGCAAUCAGCAAGUAUACUGCCCUAGAAGU